AUACGGAGGGUGCAAGCGUUACUCGGAAUCACUGGGCGUAAAGCGCGCGCAGGCGGUCUUUUAAGUUGGAUGGGAAAGCCUACGGCUCAACCGUAGAACUGCAUCCAAAACUAUUAGACUAGAGUGUGGGAGAGGAAGAUGGAAUUAGUUGUGUAGGGGUAAAAUCCGUAGAGAUAACUAGGAAUACCAAAAGCGAAGGCAAUCUUCUGGAACACUACUGACGCUGAGGCGCGAAAGCGUGGGGAGCAAACAGGAUUAGAAACCCUAGUAGUCC
rnacentral:rRNA from 1 species